rnacentral:lncRNA from 1 species
GGUACCCCAGUUUUUCUGGGUUCACCCAGAGUGCAGAUGCUUGAGGAGGUGGGAAGGGACUAUUUGGGGGUGUCUGGCUCAGGUGCCAUGCCUCACUGGGGCUGGUUGGCACCUGCAUUUCCUGGGAGUGGGGCUGUCUCAGGGUAGCUGGGCACGGUGUUCCCUUGAGUGGGGGUGUAGUGGGUGUUCCUAGCUGCCACGCCUUUGCCUUCACCUAUGGGAUCGUGGCUGUCAGCCUUGAGGGUCAGCCUGGCCCAGGCUCCCAUAGGCUUAGGAGAGGCCGCAAUUCCUACCUGUUCAUCCAGACAGAGGGGGACCUGGAAUCAAAGUCAAGUUGGGGUAGGGGGUCCAUGGGGCCAGGUUCUCUUUUUAUUUCUGAGACGGGGUCUUGUGUUGCCCAGGCUGGAGUGUAAUGGCACAACCAUGGCUCACUGCAGCCUCAACUUUGGGCUCAAGCAAUUCUCCUGCCUCAGCCUCCCAAGUAGCUGAAACUACACAGGCAUGCCCCAGCACGCCCAGCUAGUUGCAGGUCAGAUUCUCAUUGUUCUACAGGGCCCUGAGUUAAAUACUCUCGCAAGAAGAAACCAAGCCUGGCCUGCCUUCCCUCUGCUAGAAGCUGUGAUUGACACCAGCAGAGAAUGAAGGAAGAAAAGGGGGUGAGGAUCCCUUGCAGGGAUGCCGUUUACCCCAAACACCACCUGGUGCAUAGCAGUUGUUCUGGAAAUGAUCCGGUCCCCCCAGGAGGCCUGGACUCUCAACUGUGCACAGUGGCCUACUGGCAGAGAGGAAGGUGGUACCCUUCCUCCUGUGUUAUCUUGGAGGUCCCCUGAAGGGCUCUCUGGGGUGGUUCUAGCUCUUUUGGUCUGAUUUCUGCAGUGGUGAGCCCUGGGCCACCUUGGGCCACUUAAUCAUUCAACCCCCAUUCAUUGAGUGACCACUCUACGGUGGGGGAGGCUACUGAGAUGACCUGGACAAGGACCCUGCCCUGGAGGAGCUGUCAGUCUGGAAGUGAGGAUUUAAUUCAUUUGCCCAUUCAUUCAUUCAUUCAUUCAUUCAUUGAGGACUUAAUUCAUUUGCUCAUUCAUUCAUUCAUUUGCUCAUUCAUCCAUUCAUUCAUCCAUCCAUCCAUCCAUCCAAUCACUAUUUGUGCCAGAUAGUGCGGGUAUAGAGGAGAACCAACCAGAUGUGUUCCGUGUCCUCACCAGGCACCCAGUUUAAUGGGGAAGACAUCACAAGCACGAAGGCAAACAAAUGAGUGUACAGUGACAUGCUGUGAUCAUAGGAAGAGAGAGCAGAGACUUUGAUGAACACGAGCAUCGGGUGAUGUUCAUUAUGUCGAUUGUGGUGGUGGUCUUGCAGGUGUAGACAUACUUCAAACCUUAUCUAAUUGGGCCUGCUGUGGUGACGCAUGCUUGUAAUCCCAGCAUUUUGGGAAGCUGAGGUGGGAGGAUCACUUGAGCCCAGGAGCUCAAGGCUGC